rnacentral:lncRNA from 1 species
UGAAUCUCAGGCAUGAACUAUACAUGUAUGUAUAUGCGGAAUGUGACUUACUAAUGAUACUAUUAUUGAGGAUAUUAAUUGAUGUUGUCAUUGAUGAUUAUGUUGAUAUGAGUUUAUGCUAUUAUUGAUGAUUAUGUUAAUAUGAUAUGAUGUUGUUGUUGUUGAUAAUGUCAUUGAAAUGAGAUGAGGCAAUGCUGAUGUAGAUAAUGAUAUUGAG